rnacentral:rRNA from 1 species
UACGGAGGGUGCAAGCGGUGUUCGGAAUUACUGGGCGUAAAGGGCGUGUAGGCGGACUCGGAAGUCGGGUGUGAAAGCCCCGGGCUCAACUUAGGAAGUGCGCUCGAAACCACGAGUCUAGAGAUCCGGAGGGGAUCGGGGAAUUCCUGGUGUAGAGGUGAAAUUCGUAGAUAUCAGGAGGAACACCGGUGGCGAAGGCGUCGAUCUGGGCGUAUUCUGACCCUUAGAUGCGUAAGCGUAGUGAGCAAACAGG